UCCUACGGGAGGCAGCAGUGGGAAUAUUGCACAAUGGGCGGAAGCCUGAUGCAGCAACGCCGCGUGCGGGAUGACGGCCUUCGGGUUGUAAACCGCUUUCGCCUGUGACGAAGCGUGAGUGACGGUAAUGGGUAAAGAAGCACCGGCUAACUACGUGCCAGCAGCCGCGGUAAUACGUAGGGCGCAAGCGUUGUCCGGAAUUAUUGGGCGUAAAGAGCUCGUAGGCGGUUUGUCGCGUCUGCUGUGAAAGCCCGGGGCUUAACCCCGGGUGUGCAGUGGGUACGGGCAGACUAGAGUGCAGUAGGGGAGACUGGAAUUCCUGGUGUAGCGGUGGAAUGCGCAGAUAUCAGGAGGAACACCGAUGGCGAAGGCAGGUCUCUGGGCUGUUACUGACGCUGAGGAGCGAAAGCAUGGGGAGCGAACAGGAUUAGAUACCCUGGUAGUCCAUGCCGUAAACGUUGGGCACUAGGUGUGGGGGACAUUCCACGUUUUCCGCGCCGUAGCUAACGCAUUAAGUGCCCCGCCUGGGGAGUACGGCCGCAAGGCUAAAACUCAAAGGAAUUGACGGGGCCCCGCACAAGCGGCGGAGCAUGCGGAUUAAUUCGAUGCAACGCGAAGAACCUUACCAAGGCUUGACAUAUACCGGAUCGUUCCAGAGAUGGUUCUUCCCCUUUGGGGUCGGUAUACAGGUGGUGCAUGGUUGUCGUCAGCUCGUGUCGUGAGAUGUUGGGUUAAGUCCCGCAACG
rnacentral:rRNA from 1 species